AGCACGCCGCGUGAGUGAUGAAGGCUUUCGGGUCGUAAAACUCUGUUGUUAGGGAAGAACAAGUACGAGAGUAACUGCUCGUACCUUGACGGUACCUAACCAGAAAGCCACGGCUAACUACGUGCCAGCAGCCGCGGUAAU
rnacentral:rRNA from 1 species